CCGGGACACUGGGGGAGCCUUUCCUGGAGGCCGAACCUCAUGGCGGGCUGCGGCUGCUCGGGGUCGUGGCGGGAAGGCCCCUCAGGGCCGCGUCCCCUCAGACCCACCGGGGCUGCUCCGCCCGCCCGUCCCGCCGGGAAUCCCUCGAGGCUCCAUGCCCUGGGAGCCCCUCCAGUGCCGAGCUGGGUCCCUCCAAGCGGCCAGCACUGAGGGACCGCUCCAGUUCAACGCCGAUGUGUGUCCAGCCCUGAGGGCCGAGCGGUGCCAGGCACGGUGAGGGCAGGCAGAGACCCCCGAGGCACCCCAGGAAAGGCACCUGGGUGCUGGCACUGGCAGUGACUCACUGCCUGUUCUCCGCUGAUUUAUUGCUUGGCUAAGAACCGACAGCUCUGCUCAUCAUCUGCUCACCCACCCAAGGUGAGCUGCAAUGAGAAUAACUAGAAUUUCUCAUUUUAAUCGCAGAGAUGUGGUGGCCCCAGGCUUCCACGUGGCAUUCUUUGCUACCAUGGAAUGCAGAGCAUCACAACAGCUGGGUAUGUUUGGCUCUGGAAGGGAAUCACAACUGCUGGAUUAUGUUUGGUCCCAAUGCACAAGUCAGGGGAGUGACACUGAAUUUUGGACUCAGGUCCAAAUCUACCACCAUUCAACACUAAAAAAACACGUUUCUUUUCUGGCAGAAAUUAGCAGUGUGCUCUAUCUUAAGUAAGUUUGUUUUUAAGAAAUAAAAUUUUCCUCUAAUUUCUUUUUUUUUUUUUUUUAAAUACCACUUGUGAGAAUAGCCCCAAAAUCCUAAGGAUAUGUUCGGGUGUAACAAAACUGUUUAAUUCAACUAAGAAAAAAACCCAAAACCACAAUUCGAGUAGGGCUUUUCAUUUUCCCCUGCUCGGUUGUGUCACUAGAUGGCCUUCCAGACCCAAUACAAACACAACUGCACUCGGGCAAGGAGGAUCCUGCUUUGUGCACAGGGCAAACAAAACGCUAGAAAAGGAUAUUUCUGCAAAAGAUCAGAAGAAGGACCUGUAAUACCCAAAAAAGUGUCAUAUAGCUCAAAUUAUAAUAAUAAAAAAGCGAUCAAACUCACACCUAUUUCAAAUUCACCAUUUUAUUGAGGAAGAAGUUGAUGCAAGCAUGUAGAAACUGUCAAAAAGUGUUUCACAAGCCACAGUCUUAUAAAUCUUAUCUGGAACACAGGAAAAGCCAUCAGCUCCUGUCCACUGUAAUGGCUGAGAGCAUUUCAGUGACACAGGAAUGGAUGGGCCAGGAAAGAAUUUGUUUCAUCCUGAAAUGAUUUAUUUGAACCUGGCUCAAACCCAGUAUCACACUAUAUAUGAUACAAUCAGCAGGUACAGUUAGCAGUCUUCCUGUAACUGAAGAAUUCAGGGGUUUUUUUGCAAGUCAAUUACUGCCACAACGGGGAUUUUUGGGGGGGAUAAAAAUAUUAUGUGGUUAAUUAUUAAUUUGUGAGGGGUUGAUUUUUCCUUUUGUUUUUGGGCUUUUUCCAAGUCUCGCCAAACAAUCUUUACAUUUCUCAUAGCUUUGUCCUCUUGUACAUUUUAUACUUAUGGAAACUUUUAGAUUUGUACACCUUUAGAUUUGGGAUGAAACAACAUAAAAUGAGCAGAUUACAAAUACAACUGUAAACACUCCAAAGACUGUUUUUAAGUAAUUAAUGUUCUACUUGUAAUGAGUCUACUUUGUAUGGAUGAAGUACAACAUUUCAGUGUCUCAGGUACUUAAUUUUAAUUAACAGCUAUGCAGUGCUUCAGGCAUAUCAUUUGGGUUUGAGCUAAAACUGAGCCUAUUUUGCUGACUCAAAAAAAAUGCAAAAUCUGAAAUGGAAUGGUGCCACUGAUUUAAAUGGAAGAAGAUUCAACCUUCUAUUAGUGAAAUUCAAAUCUAAUCAUUACAAUAAUUGUAAGCGUCCUUCUCUAGUUCUGUUUUGGCCUGUAUAUUGAUUUUGGUACAAGUUCUUUCAUCAAAAGCUUACACAUCUGCAGCUCAGGGGUCAAUGUGUGUGUGGAGAGUCCCAGUGAGCACAACAAAACCAGGGCAUUAGUGGGGUAUGGAAAAUAUCCGUGCUCCAAUCUUUAGUGCCAAUUUGUUGCUUCAUGAUCACCAAUGAAAAAGUUAGGAAGGAGUGAAAGGUUAUUGUGCUGCUUAGGAAAUCUGCUGGGAGUUUGUGAUUUUUAUACUGGAUGGUAUUGAUGGGUAAUUCAGGUUAGUUAUAAAAACACCCCUAAAAAGACUCACAGAUUAGGUUCAAUAUUGUUUGCACACACCAUCUGCUGCAUAGCCAUAUUGUUAGUUUAUUUGGUAACACAAACUGGACAAGAAUGGGGACCUGUUCUUCCUUAUUGUCUUCAGAACUAUGUUUUUGAAAUUCACUUAAUUGUUUUCUUCAUAACACAGACCCCAGUUUACAAAGACUUCAGCAUAACAAUAACUAACCCCAUUUAUGUCCAAGGAAAUAUUAAUAAACUUAGUUAACAAAGUGCAUAAGAAGACAGAGCCUUAAAUAUUUAUUUUUAACAUUACCAGUGACAUUAAUUUUUUGUGUUUUCUACUAUUAAUUCUAACUACAGCAUGUACUGAGCAAGAGGAAUGCCUUGAAAAAAAUCACAAUAGGAAAGACAAAGCCUAAGGAAUGGAAUUUACCAAGUAAGUCAAGUGAAUCUCUGAUAAAUUUCAGAUGUUGCACAAGGCCAACAAUUGCUUGUCAUGUGCACACAGACUCUUACUGAGGGAGAGUCUCUGCCCCAUGGAAUUUAGUAUGGAUAGGGCACAGAAGGAAGGGGGAAUUAUGAUAUGGGAGAGCUGAACUGUCCCUGCACACAACACAAAGUUCUGGUGACAGAAUCAUUGUGAGAGGAGAAGCCUAUGACAAAGCAGGUGUAUGCUACUCAAGUGAUUCCUCCUGCUUACAGAACAAAUGAAGAAAAUUGUUUUUCAGUUGUGCUUUUGCUCACAGUACCAACACUGCUCUGACCCUCACUAAACCGUCCACACAAUUUCCAAAAUCAAAGCUCCCCAAUGUCCUUGACUUUCAGCUGUUUCUCAGUCUCCAUUUCUGCAGUGUUUCUCGCUGUUCCUCUCGCACAUGCAGAGCUCAACCAUCUGGUCCUCAUGGCCUGAUAUUUUACACACAUGCCCCCACCCCAAAAAUCCCUUGGGCUACAUGAUUCACCAUCUAUUCAAACCUUGCCAUGUGCCUGUUUUUUUUGUGUAGUAGCUCCUACUGAUGUAAAUCCCUUGUUCCAUAAGGGCUCUCAAUUGCCUUUUUCACUGAAAGCAAGGUGGCUGUGACACCUGCCAGUCUCUGAGACAUUUAACCCAACCUAAAACAUUAUUACAUUGUUGUUUGGCUGAGUAGAAACCAUAUUUUUUUCCCAGUGGGAUGUGCUGCCAUAAUGGCAUUAACUUUCUAGACUAUUAAGUAAUAUGGAAAAAUUAUAUUUCAAUAAGAAAAUUUCCUUUCUGCCUUUUCAUGCCUUAGAAAUAGUUCCUGUUUCACUUGGCUCAAGUAGUGCCUGCACUAAAUCAGUGCAGAAAUCUUUGGAUAAACUCUACGUAAAAUCUGUCCAAAUGCUACCAGGGAGUUCAGAGGGUUAGGAAAGAAAACAGGACAAGGGUCUGCAAGGGGAGGUGUGAGACAAAUUAAGACACACAACUCAGCAAAAUCAGGCAGAGAAUAUUCAGGUACUCUGAUGUAGUUUGGACAAACUUUAUUCAUAAACCACACACUCAUGACUACCUGGUGAGCAGCUAUUUAUAGGAAACACAAACUGUUUCUUGGUUAUUUUCUCUGGUACUCUUAAAUCAGGGGUGCCACAAUAUGGCCUACCUGAUAAAUGCAUGGCCAUCGUGUUGUGUUUUGAAUUUCACCUUUCAUUAGAAACUGAGUUCUUGGCUUUGCAGUUGUGGGGGAAAACCACCCCAUUUUACAAAUCUGAAGUAAAUCAACAUGGUAAAAUGUCAUCCUGAUAGAGUAGGUGCUUAGAGGCAGUUUCAAGUUUCUGUUGCUUACUAAAGCAUGAACUCUCAAGCCAAAUUCUGUUGUGGAAUAUGGGUAACACAAGGUUAGGAUCAUCCUAUGCUUUUCUGGAACAUCAAACACAAUGAGUAAUCUCUGAAAAGUAUGAAAUGAACAGGCAAGUGUCUGCCAACACCUCCACAGCUCUGCCCCCGUGGAUCCUGGGAUGUGUGUCUCCCAGAUGUGCUGGCAUGGCUUCCCUGAGCCAUGGGCAGGAAUUUGUCACCACAGGCUGGCAGAGCUAUCACAGCACGCCUCGUUUCAGGUGAGAUCUGCAGUUGUGUUUGCCUUGAGAGCUGGGCUUGGUUUUGCCAUGGGAACAGGCAGAAGCAGUGGGUUCAGGAGUGAGGCACAGCCUUGCUCAUGGCUGACAGAGAUCAGGGCUCUGCUACAGAUCUGCAUGAAAUUACUCACCAUCAGAUGUUCUUCUGCAUCCAGAUCUGCAGCAGAGAACACAUCUCAUCAGGAAGUAAUUUGGGGAAAUUUAGGGAAAAAGGCUACAAAUAGCUUUGCUUGCAACAAGAUCCGUUCUUAGCCAGUAUCCAACCAAUCCCUUUAGUAUAACUUCUAAAAUCCCUCUGGCUUAGGCCUUCCUGUGUUUUCAUUACCCAAAACUCCACCUAACCCAGCAAGCACAGAUAUUUAUUUUUUUUUCAAAAUUGGAGCGCUCUCUGCAGUAUCUGCUUCCUUCAGAUCACUUUUCCCUUCUCUCGUUCCCAAAUUAUGUAAUUCCUUGUGGAUAGGGAUAUUUUCUUUUAAUGUACUUGCUGGUUCAGAUACAAGGGAAGACUGAAUCCAAGAGGAGUGUGUGUUAAUUAAGAUGACCACAGCACCAGGGCAGGAGUUGCAUUCAGCUGCUUUAGUUUACACAGGAGGGAUUAACAUGGAGUGGGUGAGUCAACUGUGGAUUGCCAAAUCUGGGUUACACUCCCCAAAAUUCUGUUGGAAGAUUCCUCUAAACCUGAAGUAUGUGGAGUUGUACUUAUUUUGUGAAGUAGAGAACAUCAAGUUUAAUUGAACCCAGGCUUCCUAAAUAUGCUUUUCACUAUGUGAGCUACAGUGCAGCCUGACCAGUGUGUGUUUUACAGAGUCAUGAGUCAGGCUUUGAUCAACACCUCAUUCCUUCACUCUUGCAUCUGGCCCAGGCAGGAAGCUCUCAAACCUUAUGGACAAGCAUGUGGGGAAACUGGGAAUAUUCAUAGGGGAGAAUAAAAGCUGGUGAAGUAGGCUAUGAGAAUGGACUGUGGAUGAAAUAGUGCCAUGUUUUUGCUGAGUAAUGGAUAGCACUGACAUUAAAGGGCAGUUAACAUGAAGUUUGCAUCCUCCCCUCUGGUAUCUGUGCAAACUUCCCACAGGAAGGCAGCAAUGGCAGACUGAAGAGAUGAUAAAAUGCCCUGUUUAUAUGGGGGACACCACAAUUUCUGUCUGUUUUUUGUGGAGUGCUGGAUGUAUGGGUAGAGCUAAGUGGGAAGUACUUGCUCUGUCAUAGUCUGGCUGGCAAGAUGCUCAUUCAUAGAGGUGGAGGUUUGGCAGGAGCCAGAGGAGCUUGUGGCUUGUCAGAGCAUGGCCAGGCAAAGCACAGGCCCAGACUGAAAUUUUCUCAGACCUGAGAGCAGCCAUAACCCAGCCAGAGCAAACUCUGAGAGGAACAGUGAUGCUCAGAGCAGGUUAAUUAAUAACUUGAGGCACUGGAAAUAAAACCAGGUUGUAAUUGAGCGAUAUUUGCUUUAGAGCUGUGAUUCUUGGCCUGUGCCUGGUUUGUGGGAGCUGGUUGGGCUGACAGUGCAGAGUGACCUGGCUGGAUGUCCUUACUGAGAGUCACCAGAGAGGCUCAGGAAGGUGUUCAAGCAGUGGUGUGGGUGUAGUGAGGGCAGGCACAGAGAGCAGCAAGCUGACAGUGCUGGGUCUGGCACGCUGCCCUGCCCUGCUCCACACCUCUGUCUUUGAUGGCACAUUUCCUGUGUUUCACCCUUCCUACAUACAUCUCACCCUUCCUGAUAACAACAGGCACAUUGUCAAGUUCCUCAUUGCUUACUGGGAUUAAUGUAGUAGCUCUGAGUUCUUAAAGUGGGGAGAUUUCCUGGUUAAAACUGUUCUAAUUAAACUUGUAUCUCUCAUAAGGCUAAAAAUGCCCCUGUGUGAAUGGCAGCUGGAUCUGCUUGCAAAAUGUCAGUGCCUCAAGACCUUUAAUGGUCUUGGGAGUCUAACAAUAGUACAGACAGUGCCUGUUCAAAGAUAAGGGCUCCAGGCAAAUGGAAGAAGGAAGCAAAUACAGCCUCCCCAUGAAAUCAGACAUCUUAGACAAAAAUUUUCUAAGUACAGAACACAUCUGGCUGUGUAUUUCUUAAGUACUUUAUUGGCUUGAAUUACACACACAGCACCCACAGCAAAUAUUUUCUACUCUGAGUGGGCACCUCCAUUCUCCUUUUAGGACUCAGUUUUGGACCUGGGAAAAAGUGUUCUCAGUCGAAAGGCCUCCAAGCAAGCCUGGGCUGGUCACAGUGGAGCAACAGCUGCACGAGCUUAAAUUCCUCUCCCCACCCUGCUGUACAAGCCAUGCUCCUCAGUCCUGUGCAUGGAGGAAUGUCCAGCUUUCCUGCUUCCCUGCCAGCUCCACUGGCAUUUCCUAUUCCACAGGCAAUUGCACGUUAGUUGCCGACACCAUGAAGUGCUUUUUCAUGUGGGCAGUGGUGGUGGAACUAAGGAUCCCUUCUGGUCAGAACGCCCUGCAGAUGUUCGUGACACUUUUUUCACUCCCCUUUAUGCAACACGUCAGGCGCUUGUGAUAAUUUACUGCCACAGGAACCACUUCCUGCACGCUGCUAACUGCAAGUCCUUCCGGACUGCUGGCAGGCACUGCCCAGGGAAAGGAGAAGACAAUGUGCAGGGAAAGGUGUCAGGAAGCAAAGAGAACCCUGUCCUGCAUCAGCAGCUCCCAGGAGAGAGGCAGGCAGAAAUGCAGCAAUGGCUAUGUGGGUUUAAUGGAAACUAACUUCAGUUAGAAACUAGCAGUGGCCUUUCCCUCUUGAAGGUUAAAACAACUAAAAUAUCUGGAAGACGUAUUUUAAUUUAAAACUUACCUUAAAAAAGAGAAAAAUAAAAGUUAAAGCAAGUCCAAAAAUAACUCAGAAAGUAGACAAAGAUAAGAACAGAGCCUGCAGAAGUCAAGUCUGAACAAAAGGCAUGGGCUGUGAAAGGAGAAAACCACAAAUGGCAGGGGUCGAAAUGUAAAACCUACAGUUCACCGUGAAACAUGAAGGAUGCUGUUGUAUUCCACACCUCCUCUUCCUGGGUGUAGCUGUCUCCACAAGGUGAAGGGCAGUAAUGAAUCAAGCUCCUUCCCUCUUCCUGUAUUUUCUAUUCAAUUAUUUGCAGGCUGUGCAAGAUCUGCUUUACUUUCCCUCUCCAUAUGCCACACUCUCCUCCUGUUUUUUAGUUUUUUUUCUAAUUCUGAACUGUGCCUUUGGCCUCUCUCCCAUUCCUUUCUCCUCGGUGUGUGCCCCCUGCUCUGCCAGGAUCUGCUGUCUUUGUAACCUCUGCUGUGCACAUAUGCUGGCUCUUCCCUCCCCUCCUGCCACCCCCUGCUCCACCAAGUGUCCCUUCUCCUCGCUCCAGCGUUUUUGCCAGCGGCUCUGUGAGCUAGCCAGGAAUGGAACGAUUUUGCCACGGCCACUGCUCCUGUUUCCAUGCUCCUCUCCAGCGACCAAGGGGAAGCUGUGCUGCUCCCCUCGUACAGCACAGGCACACACAGCCCUGCAGCUGUGUAGCAACUGGGAGCUGCUGGAGUGCAGCAGCACAGGGAGCCAUGGGCAGCACAGCCUUCACCGACCCGGCACCUUCGGGCCCACUCGGCUGCAACCCAGGGCUCGAGGGACCAGCUGGGGCACUCCUCGCUGUCCUGUCAAACAAUAAAUCAAGAUGCAAAUCCUUAACUGUACGAUUGAGAGAAGUGGUGGCAAUGUCAAGGGCAAAACAAAGCCCUGGUCUCGUGUCACAUCGCACCAGUGGGAAGACACUGCUCUGAUUUGUAAGCUGAACUCAUUUGAUCUUUGUCAUCGGUUUCUGGCUGCAACAUUUUAUACUCCAUCACUUUUAAUCAGAAUGUUCCUUGUAUCUGCUACAUGUGUUAAAAUGGCUCCCAGGUCCCCGGCUACUAUCAUAUCUAGGCUGUUUAAUGAAGUGUCCAGAGACACAAGUAAUUUAAUGCAUAAAUAUUCUUUUAGAUUAUUUGGAUCUUCAUUUCCUUUUCAUGCAAGCUUUGUAAGUGCCCGGCCUUUAAAUGGUACAUUCUUUUCAUUCUUUCUCUUUUAUUUUUGUGAAACUGUACUGUUCAGGGGCCAUGAAGCACUGAACUGUUUUGUAAUUCGAUGGCUUUAGAAUGCUGAUUAGAAUUGCCAACAGUCUUGAUUUAUUUCGUGAUUUUUAUAAGCUUGAAAGCAUUCUAAAAAAUAACCACUUCUACAUCCUGAUAGGAUCACAGCAUUUCAAUGGCAGCUGCAUUUCAAUAGGCAAGAAGCAACACAAAACAUUCUGCAAGUCAGGUGUUGAAACAGUUUCUUUAUUCCUUUAUAGCUCAAGAAAGAUUAGAUCUCUGAAAGCACUCACUCCCUACCUUACAGAGGUGGCUUUGUCAUAAUACUUUCAGAAAUAAUAUGAUCACAUACAGUUUAAAAAGUAACAACCACCCCCAGGUCUGGAAAAUAGCCAACACAUCCAUCAAAAUUUGUCUGGAUUUUAAACACAGUAAAUGUUUGUUCCACUGUUGGGUGUCACCAUGCAUCUCUGCACCCCGGCAGCCAAACAACACAGCCUAGUGAUUCCCUGUCAUUGUUCAAGGCUCACAUCCCCAUGCAUCCUCAGAGCAUGCUGGGACACAGGUGAAAUCUUGUCAGCAGGUUGCUUAUUUCGGCUGACAAUUCCCUAGACAGAUCAUCUGCUGUUCUUAGGAAGGAAUAAAAAAUUUCAUGGCAAGAAAAUAUGAACAGGCAAAUACCCUGUCCAUAUUCCUACUCAAUAGUCCUUUGAUAUUCUUAGCCUGGUUUCCUAAAAAUAAAACCAUCUAAUGCGACUGUGUUCUUCUCUGUAAUCUCCCCCCUCAUUCCUCCAAUGUCAAUCAAAUUUGGCGGCGGGGAAGAAGUCCCUAAUGUAUUUAGGUCUUGAAUGAACAGCUGGAUACAGAGUAUGUGGUGAGGCAUCACAUCUAAAAAAACCUCAUCUAACAGGAAGGUCUCAAAAUGUACUUUGUAACCACCCUGCCCCAGACACACUCAUCUUUCUUUUAUUGGUCCUGCAACCACCUGUUUUGUGCUCUGCAUUAUUUAAUGGCUACAUAAUAGACACCAGGGCAGGCAAGUGUUGCAGUCUGCCUCUGGCUCCCUUCCAGCUCCUAAACCGGGCUUUCUUCCCAUGCAACUGGGGUGUGGCAAGGGAUGGUGUGGAACCAGACCUCCUCCUGACACAAUAUUGACACUGCUGAGGUGUGUGUACACACACCCGGAACCAGGAAACACAGUGCUGACAGGUUGUUUAUCUGGAAGAAAACUAAAAUCAUAACCAAGUUUGUAGGUGGCACGAAGCAGUAUCACGAGGGAGUAUCAAAUAAAAAUAAUAAUUUAAAAAGGCCAUUGCAAGCAACAACGCUGUCUAAGAGUUCUCAAGAUGACCAGAGUAAAGCCAUACAUGCAGAACAAAGAGCACAAUCCUACAAUGCAGGGUGGUCAUUCUUAGAAGGAUCAGAUCCGAGAGUAUUUUAGCAGCCCUGCUGGGAAACCAGCUGAACAUGGGCUGGAGUAAUCCUGGAUGCCUGACAGACACAUCUGAGCCAGGAGGGCUGUUGGCUCAGGCAUGGUCACUGCCGAGGGCUCUGUCCCCUUCUGCCCAGAUCAAAAUGGUGACAAACUGGAGCAGGAACAAUUACAGGAUUAGUAAAGAUGGACCCGAGGGGGAGCUCUGCAGCCUGCAAUGGAGUGUUUAAAUGCUCAGCUUGCACACAGCUACGAGGGGAUGUAAAUCUGGUCAUGGAGCAUUCUUCUGCCAAGGAGACUGAGGGACAGACACAUCCAGAAA